UGGCAUGCAAGUCGAACGAGGAUAUACUCUUCGGAGUAUAAGCCGAGUGGCGAAAGGGUGAGUAAAGCAUAGAUGACAUGCCUUUAGGAUAAGGAUAGCUUUGUGAAAACGGAGUUAAUGCUUAAUAAUUACGAAGAGAAAUCAAUUUCCUUCGUCAAAGGGGGGUAGCAAUACCUUUUGCCUAAAGAGUGGUUUAUGUCCUAUCAGCUUGUUGGUGGGGUAACUGCCUACCAAGGCUAAGACGGGUAGCCGGCCUUAGAGGGUGAUCGGCCACACUGGGACUGAGACACUGCCCAGACUCCUACGGGAGGCUGCAGUCGAGAAUCUUUCGCAAUGCCCGAAAGGGUGACGAAGCGACGCCGCGUGAGCGAAGAAGGCCUUAGGGUUGUAAAGCUCUGUCGAGGGUUAUGAAAUAUAGAUGAGUUAAUACCUUAUUUAUUUGACAAAGGCCCAAAAGGAAGUCACGGCUAACUCUGUGCCAGCAGCCGCGGUAAUACAGAGGUGGCAAGCGUUGUUCGGUAUUAUUGGGCGUAAAGAGCACGUAGGUGGUUUUGUAAGUCAGGUGUGAAAGCCUUCUGUUCAAAGGAAGAACGGCAUCUGAAACUGCAGAUCUUGAGUGUAGGAGGGGAGAGUGGAACUUCUGGUGGAGCGGUGAAAUGCGUAGAUAUCAGAAGGAACGUCGGCGGCGAAAGCGACUCUCUGGCCUAUUACUGACACUGAGGUGCGAAAGUUAGGGGAGCAAACGGGAUUAGAUACCCCGGUAGUCCUAACCGUAAACGAUGGGCACUAAGUAGAGGGGUUUU
rnacentral:rRNA from 1 species